rnacentral:lncRNA from 1 species
ACUUUAUGCUCUUCAGAGACUUUCUCUUCGAGCUCAAUCUUCCUCCCAUUGCCUCCAUCUUGGAUAAACUUCUUUUUUCAAGAGAACGGCAUGGUGGCUCACAAUUACAUUAUGAUCCUUAAAAAGAUAAAAGUAGUAUCCCAUAAUUUUCUUAAGAUAUCCUAUAAAAUAAAUCCUAAAGGAUCUAGCCUCUAACUUGUCUGCCUGCUGUCGCU